GACCUCGAAUUCAGGUAGGACUACCCGCUGAACUUAAGCAUAUCAAAAG
rnacentral:rRNA from 1 species